AGUAACCUAAAAAUAAGAGAGUACCAGGCAGUGUAUUUGAUGAGAUUGAGACUUCCUUCCUGCUUCAACUCCAGUUGAGCUUCGGCUGAACAAAUUUUCUCCUGACAGUGGCAAGCAACGUCUCUGAAUUAUUCCUAUGUCACCUAAGCUGGCUUCCACUGGGCACAUACCUUCAUCAUCUUACUUGCAGAAGAAGAUCUCUGUUCAGAGCAAACAGCAUCUCAUCCAUCUUCUGAACAAACUCAGUACAGAGGGUGCUGUGUUAUUAGCAGCCAAAGUAGGCCUCAAAGAAAGGCUCAACCUGUCCCUGUUUCCACCACAAAUGGAAAUUUAAAAUAUGAGAGAAGCCAUGAAGAGUAAAGAUUUCAUAAACUAAUGGAAGUGACUAAAAGAGGAAUGGACCCCAUAAAGAAAGCAAUACUUCUGAACUAGAUAGAUGUUUCCAUAUUAAGCCCUUAAAUAAGUAAUUUUGAAAUCAAAUUUUCAUG